UGUCGUCAAAGCAACUAUAACUGAAGUAGUAUUACGAAAAAGUCGGAACUACAUAUCAUGUUCGAGUUGCUCUAAAAAAGUAACAAAAUCAUCAACCUCUCUUAUAUGCUCAAACAAAAAGUGUGGUAAAACACCAGCCAUUGGAGUACUAAGAUUUAGAAUUGAAGUAAUAGUGGAUGAUGGAGAUGCCUCAGCAACUUUUGUUAUAUUUGAUAAAGAUGCAGAAAAAAUCACCGGAACAACUGCAGAAAUCAUAAAAAGUAAUUUGGGCGAACAAGAGUUAGAAGAAGUUCCCACAUGUGUGAAAUCAAUAGUUGGAAAUACAUAUUUAUUCGAGAUUCAAGUUAAAAAGUAUGAUUUUGAUGUAUCGUAUCAAACUUUUACAGUCUCAGAAAUAAUAGACGAAACAAAGACAAGUUCGAAGGAUGUCAACUGUGGAACCAAACGCCAGAAAUGUGAUGAACGUCAAAAACAAGCAGAUGAUCAACAGAAGAAACCAAGAAUUGAGGACUGAAUUUGUUUUUUU